rnacentral:rRNA from 1 species
CCGUAACUAUAACGGUCCUAAGGUAGCGAAAUUCCUUGUCGGGUAAGUUCCGACCCGCACGAAAGGCGUAAUGAUUUGGGCACUGUCUCAACAAUGCACCCGGUGAAAUUGAAAUACCAGUGAAGAUGCUGGUUACCUGCGCCAGGACGGAAAGACCCCAUGGAGCUUUACUCCAGUUUGAUACUGGGAUUCGGUAUUGCAUGUACAGGAUAGGUGGGAGGCUUUGAAACAUGGACGCCAGUCUGUGUGGAGCCAAUGUUGGGAUACCACCCUUGCGAUAUUGGGUUUCUAACCUGCGCCCGUGACCCGGGCGGGGGACAAUGUCAGGCGGGGAGUUUGACUGGGGCGGUCGCCUCCGAAAGGGUAUCGGAGGCGCUCAAAGGUUCCCUCAGGAUGGUUGGAAACCAUCCAAAGAGUGCAAAGGCAUAAGGGAGCUUGACUGCGACACCGACGGGUGGAGCAGGUACGAAAGUAGGACUUAGUGAUCCGGUGGUAUAAAGUGGGAUUGCCAUCGCUCAACGGAUAAAAGCUACCCUGGGGAUAACAGGCUUAUCACUCCCAAGAGUUCACAUCGACGGAGUGGUUUGGCACCUCGAUGUCGGCUCAUCGCAUCCUGGGGCUGUAGCAGGUCCCAAGGGUUGGGCUGUUCGCCCAUUAAAGCGGUACGCGAGCUGGGUUCAGAACGUCGUGAGACAGUUCGGUCCCUAUCCGGCGUGGGCGUAGGAUAUCUGAGAGGAGCUGUCCUUAGUACGAGAGGACCGGGAUGGACAGACCGCUGGUGUACCUGUUGGCCUACCAAGGCCAUGGCAGGGUAGCCAAGUCUGGACGGGAUAAACGCUGAAGGCAUCUAAGCGUGAAGCCCCCCUCAAGAUGAGAUAUCCCAUCGCGAAAGCGAGUAAGACCCCUUGAAGACGACGAGGUAGAUAGGUUAGAGGUGGAAGUGCAGUAAUGUACGGAGCUGACUAAUACUAAUCGGUCGAGGGCUUAUCCAG